UUAUGGCCACAUUGAAACACCAGUUCCUGUAUGAUCACCAAAGUUAAGCCAUGUCAAGCUUGGUCAGUUCGUAGAUGGGUGACUGCUUGGGAAUAUCAUGUGCCA